rnacentral:misc_RNA from 1 species
CUCUCUCUCUCUCUCUCUCUCUUCGAUUUUUAGCAAUGUCUGUGCUUGUGAGCUUGCUUGUGGGUCUUGUGCUGGUGGGUUCAGUUAGCUCAGCGAAAUUCGAUGAGCUAUUUCAAGCCAGCUGGGCUGUUGAUCACUUCAUCUACGAUGGAGAGCUUCUCAGCCUCAAGCUUGAUAACUAUUCUGGUGCUGGGUUUCAAUCCAAAAGCAGGUACAUGUUUGGGAAAGUGACUGUGCAGAUUAAACUUGUAGAGGGUGACUCUGCUGGAACUGUUACUGCCUUCUACGUAAGUGUGAAGCUAAUCGUAUUUGAUUAGCUAGAUUACAUGAUGGGAUUGAAGAUGAUUCAAUCUUAGGCUCGAUUAGUAGCAGCUAUAGAAAUAGUGUCCUAGGCUGCCACUAGCAGAGCUGCAGCUACCUACAACGCUUUGCACGCCCGUGAAUCUCUUUAAAGCGUCUUUAUUAUGCAUUUACUAGCUUCGUCCCCACUCUCAAGUUAUAAUUAAUUCCUUUCUCCUUUAUCAAUAAUUCCUGGUAAGCAGUUAUUUAAUAUUAUUUUUUUUUGUGAUGCAGAUGUCAUCGGACGGUCCAAACCACAAUGAAUUUGAUUUCGAGUUCCUGGGGAAUACCACAGGGGAACCUUACCUUGUCCAAACCAACAUUUAUGUCAAUGGUGUAGGUAACAGAGAACAAAGGUUGAACCUCUGGUUUGAUCCUACCAAAGACUUCCACUCCUACUCUCUCCUCUGGAACCAGCGCCAAGUUGUAUUUCUAGUGGAUGAGACCCCUAUUAGAUUACACACAAACAUGGAAAACAGAGGAAUUCCCUUCCCUAAGGACCAACCAAUGGGUGUAUACAGCUCAAUAUGGAAUGCAGAUGACUGGGCUACACAGGGAGGCCGUGUCAAAACUGAUUGGAGCCAUGCACCCUUUGUUGCCUCAUACAAGGGUUUUGAAAUAGAUGCCUGUGAGUGUCCAGUUUCUGUGGCAGCAGCUGAUAUUGCUAAAAGAUGUAGCAGCAGUGGUGAGAAGAGGUACUGGUGGGAUGAGCCUACUUUGGCUGAGCUCAAUUUGCACCAAAGCCAUCAGCUUUUGUGGGUUAAGGCUAACCACAUGGUCUAUGACUACUGCACCGACACGGCUAGGUUUCCGGUCACUCCUGUAGAGUGCCUUCACCACCGCCACUAGCUAGCUUAGUCUUGUGGCUCGAUGGUGGUUAUGGGGGAGGAGUUGGAGAGAUGGGUUGGUCUGGAGGUGGGUUUAGGGUUGUAAAUAAAGAAAUGAAAACAUAGGGGAGGGGGCAGACGGACAUAAACAUGUACUCCAUGUUUCGCAUUUUGGUCACUUAGAUUGUAAAAAUAUUAAAUAUGAUUUGUUCUUUCUUUUUAUAAUUUUAUUUUUGUGAAUUGAUGAUUUACAUAUAUAUACAUAAUAAUUA